AGCAGCAGCAGCAGCAGCAGCAGUAGUAGUAGUAGUAGUCGCUACAGCAGGAGUUGUAGUAGUAGCAGCAGCAGCAGAAGUAGCAGUAGUAGUAGUAGCAGCAGCAGGAGUAGUAGCAGCAGCAGCAGUAGCAGCAGCAGUAGCAGUAGUAGUAGUAGUAGUUGAAGCAGUAGUAGUAGUUGAAGCAGUAGUAGUAGUAGUAGCAGUAGUAGCAGCAGUUUUAGUAGAAGUAAUAGUAGUAGUAGUAGAAGUAGUAGUAGUAGUAGUAGUAGUAGAAGUAGAAGUAGCAGUAGUAGUAGAAGUAGUAGUAGUAGUAGUAGUAGUAGUAGUAGUAGUAGUAGUAGUUGUUGUUGUUGUGGCUGUUGUAAUAGUAGUAGUAGUUUUGCAGAAGUAGUAGUAGUAGUAGUAGUAGUACUAGUAGUAGAAGUAAUAGUAGUAACUUUCAAAGCAAUGUCUACAAGUUUAAAUUCCUUAACCCUGUUCAAGGUGUAUACACACUCAAUAUUUAACUACAGUCCAGGUUUGCAAUUAACAAACUAUCUGAUAAACCUGUGUGUGAGUCAGAUAUGUCUGCUGCUAAUCUAUUGGUUAUAAAAUAUCACAGCCUUUUCUGAUUGGCUGAGUUCAAAUACAGAAAGUUUACCUGUUAGAUUGAAAUUCUGGAGCAGGCGUAUUGUAAAAUAUGCAGGUUAAACUUGUUGUUAAAAUGAAGUUAAUGUAAUGUUCACAAACAGUAGAGUUAAUGAGUUUUUCCAUUAACAAGAAUUUCUUAAAAUAAUAAUGUAUGGAUAUCAUUUGGAAAGUGACAUGAAAUGUUGUUAAAAAGUGAUGCAUACAAGUGUUUCAGAAGUCUGUCUAGGAAUAGAACAACAACUGAAGCUGACCAGUUGAUGAAAGAUAUUGCAGAGUUUGGCAGGGAAAUAACCCAAGACAGCAAAGCGGCUCUUUUGGCGCAUUUACGAAGAGGACUAACAUGGCCACAAAUUCAUGAGAUCAUGCAGGAGCCGUACAGUAUAACAGCAGUACAAGUUCUAUAAAAGAUCCACGACCUACUGAAGCCCAGCUAAUUAACAAAAAAGUUUUUAAAAACUGUAAUUUUAUCCCACCUGGGUACUUAUAAUUUACUAAGCUGCCUACACAAGUUUUAGACUUGCAAUUAUAUUUUAAACUGUCACUUGGAAAGUUAUACAUGUACAUGCAUUAUGCUCUGAAUUUCUUUGAACAAUAAAAUUAUAUAAAAGUAUUUUAAUGAAAUUGAGCACCUAAAUUGCAUUAAAGUGAAAGUAGCUGAGAAAAAUAGUAUCCUUGUGCUCAUGGGCAGCUACAUAUAUUGUGACAAACAUGAAUUAGCUAAAAUAACUUAAAUUUUUCAUUUUGUUUCUUGUAUAUCGUUUGUACAGGGUUCGUGAAUUGUUGCUGUAUAUUACUUGACUUGCUUGUAUUUUGUUACUUUGAAUACAUGUUGUGAAGGUUGCAUUAUACUUUUUAACUUUUAAAGUAGCGCCUGUUCUGUUAUGUAAGAGCCUGAUUUAUGAUAAUGGACAUAGAGGCUUUGUAAGCAUGUAUUAAACAACACUUGUUUGAUCUGAAUAAUUUGUUAAAUAAAUGUAACACAAUUUGUAAUCUGAUGUUAUAUUUUGAUGAAUUGUGAACAAAAUAAUACAUCGAAGAAACUAAGGCAUUAUGUUGAUUUUUUGUUUUGUUUUAAUCUAACCUUAAAUUAUGAUUUAUUUAAGCUGUGAGUAUUGUAUUCAUUUAAUACAUGAAUAUUGUUUUUAGACCAGAAAUUUCUUUUUCUAUUCAGUGACCAUGGUAAACGCUGGACAAUUUUCCAUGUUAUACCAGGCAUCCAUGGAAUAUUAAACAAGGAAAAACCCUGGAACAUUUUCCAGGGUUUUCCAGCCAGCAUGGAAAAAAUA